rnacentral:rRNA from 1 species
CCCUUAGAUGUUCUGGGCCGCACGCGCGCUACACUGAUGCAUUCAACGAGUCUAAAACCUGGUCUGAUAGGGCUGGGUAAUCUUUUGAAAGUGCAUCGUGAUUGGGAUAGAUGAUUGCAAUUCUUCAUCUUCAGCGAGGAAUGCCUAGUAAACGCAAGUCAUCAGCUUGCAUUGAUUACGUCCCUGCCCUUUGUACACACCGCCCGUCGCUCCUACCGAUUGAAUGAUCCGAUGAAUACCAUGGAUUGAGAGUACGAAUGGGUUCGCUCAUUUCUGCUGCUCGAGAAGUGGAGUAAAUCUUAUCAUUUAGAGGAAGGAGAAGUCGUAACA